GUCUACAAUUGUUUUUCUGAGGUCUUGGCAGAUUGUUUUUGAUUUUCCCAUGAUGUCAAGCGAAGAGGCACUGAGUUUGAAGGUGCAAACAGCCACUGUUGCUGUCACCUGUUGAGGAGGAAGUUUGGGCUGACUAUCACACUAUAUAAAAAAGGUCACAAAGAUCCUCUUCCCCGCCUGCAUUCUGAAGGUGAGAUUUUGAACAGUUCCCACUGACUGAUUGUCAAAGUACCAGGCUGAUUCCAGCUGACACUAAGAACAGAAUAUGGAACACUACUCAUCACCCAAAGCAUAUAAUUCACAAGAUCAUCCAGUCAUAUUGUCAUUACAGUAUGUGAUAUGAUAUUUGCAGAAUAUUUGGUACAGUAGUUAAAUCUAUGAAAUGCAUGUUUCCCCACAAAUAGA
ensembl:lncRNA